rnacentral:rRNA from 1 species
GACGAACGCUGGCGGCGUGCUUAACACAUGCCAGUCGAACGGAAAGGCCCUGCUUUUGUGGGGUGCUCGAAUGGCGAACGGGUGAGUAACACGUGAGUAACCUGCCCUUGACUUUGGGAUAACUUCAGGAAACUGGGGCUAAUAACGGAUAGGAACUCCUGCUGAAUGGUGGGGGUUGGAAAGUUUCGGCGGUUGGGGAUGGACUCGCGGCUUAUCAGCUUGUGGGUGGGGUAGUGGCUUACCAAGGCUUUGACGGGUAGCCGGCCUGAGAGGGUGACCGGCCACAUUGGGACUGAGAUGCGGCCCAGACCCCUACGGGAGGCAGCAGUGGGGAAUAUUGCACAAUGGGCUGAAGCCUGAUGCAGCAACGCCGCGUGCGGGAUGACGGCCUUCGUGUUGUAAACCGCUUUCGCCUGUGACGAAGCGUGAGUGACGGUAAUGGGUAAAGAAGCACCGGCUAACUACGUG